AAGCUGUUGUUUUAGUAUUCUUUUGAUGAGUUUGGCUUGUUGUUAUGAAAAGUGUUUGUUUUGGCGAGUUUGAACGUUUUUGAGCAUGUGUAAUGGCAUGAAUGCGUUAAGCUGUUGUUUUAGUGUUCUUUUGAUGAGUUUGGCUUGUUGUUAUGAACAUUGUUCGUUUUGGCCAGUUUGAAGGUUUUUGAGCAUGUGUAAUGGCAUGAAUGCGUUAAGCUGUUGUUUUAGUGUUCUUUUGAUGAGUUUGGCUUGUUGUUAUGAACAUUGUUCGUUUUGGCCAGUUUGAAGGUUUUUUAGCAUGUGUAAUGGCAUGAAUGCGUUAAGCUGUUGUUUUAGUGUUCUUUUGACGAGUGUGGCUUGUUGUUAUGAAGAUUGUUCGUUUUGGCCAGUUUGAACGUUUUUGAGCAUGUGUAAUGGCGUUAAUGUGUUGAAUUAGUAAUCCCAUGUGUUAAGCCGUUGUUUUAGUGUUCUUUUGAUGAGUUUGGCUUGUUGUUAUGAAAAGUGUGUGUUUUGGCGAGUUUUAACGUUU